UGCAGAUGAUGUUAAGAAUAUUUGCUAUCUUAUAAACCAUGCUGACAACCCCACCAAGAUCGCUGAUGCA